rnacentral:rRNA from 1 species
GACGAACGCUGGCGGCGUGCCUAAUACAUGCAAGUAGGACGCAGUUGCGAACGGGUGAGUAACGCGUAGGUAACUACCUAUUAGAGGGGGAUAACUAUUGGAAACGAUAGCUAAUACCGCAUACUAGUAGAUGGACCUGCGUUGUAUUAGCUAGUAGGUAGGGUAAUGGCCUACCUAGGCAACGAUACAUAGCCGACCUGAGGUGUGGAUCUGCUACAUUGGGAGUGGGACAAGGCCCAGACUCCUACGGUGGGCAGAAGUAGGGAAGCUGCGGCAAUGGGGGGAACACUGACCGAGCAAAGCCGCGUGAGUGAAGAAGUUUUUCGGAUCGUAAAGCUCUGUUGUUAAGGAAGCGGUACUUAACCAGAAAGGGACGGCUAACUACGUGCCAGCAGCCGCGGUAAUAC